GAUGAACGCUGGCGGCAUGCCUAACACAUGCAAGUCGAGCGGACGGACGGGGAUCUGGCUUCUCUGGUGUUGGCGGCGGGCGUGUGAGGAACACGUGUAUACCCUACCGAGGAGACUGAGAUAACUACGGGUGCCCGUAUCUCGUACCCGGUAAUAUUUUGAAAGGCAUGGGUCAGAGGAGGAGGACGGUCCUGAUGAGACUGAUGGAUAGAUCCUCGCUGCAUUAGCUAGUGGGUAAGGUAACGGCUUACCAAGGCGACGAUGCAUAGCUGACCUGAGAGGGUGAUAGGCGACACUGGAACUGAGACACGGUCCAGACUCCUACGGGAGGAAGCAGUAGGGAAUCUUCGGCAAUGGGCGAAAGCCUGACGGCGCAACGCCGCGUGAGUGAUGAAGGUCUUCGGAUCGUAAAGCACUGUUAUUAGGGAAGAACAUAUGUGUAAGUAACUGUGCACAUCUUGACGGUACCUAAUGAGAAAGCAACGGCUAACUCCGUG
rnacentral:rRNA from 1 species